AGUGAACGCUGGCGGUAGGCCUAACACAUGCAAGUCGAACGGCAGCACAGUAAGAUCUUGCUCUUACGGGUGGCGAGUGGCGGACGGGUGAGGAAUACAUCGGAAUCUACUUUUUCGUGGGGGAUAACGUAGGGAAACUUACGCUAAUACCGCAUACGACCUACGGGUGAAAGCAGAGGAUCUUCGGACCUUGCUCGAUUGAAUGAGCCGAUGUCGGAUUAGCUAGUUGGCGGGGUAAAGGCCCACCAAGGCGACGAUCCGUAGCUGGUCUGAGAGGAUGAUCAGCCACACUGGAACUGAGACACGGUCCAGACUCCUACGGGAGGCAGCAGUGGGGAAUAUUGGACAAUGGGCGCAAGCCUGAUCCAGCCAUACCGCGUGGGUGAAGAAGGCCUUCGGGUUGUAAAGCCCUUUUGUUGGGAAAGAAAAGCAGCAGGUUAAUACCCCGCUGUUCUGACGGUACCCAAAGAAUAAGCACCGGCUAACUUCGUG
rnacentral:rRNA from 1 species